CUACGGGCGGCUCCAGUGAGGAAUAUUGCACAAUGGGGGGAACCCUGAUGCAGCAACGCCGCGUGGAGGAUGACGCAUUUCGGUGUGUAAACUCCUUUUAUAUGUCAAGAAAAUGACGGUAGCAUAUGAAUAAGCACCGGCUAACUCCGUGCCAGCAGCCGCGGUAAUACGGAGGGUGCAAGCGUUACUCGGAAUCACUGGGCGUAAAGGACGCGUAGGCGGGUUGGAAAGUCAGGUGUGAAAUCCUACAGCUUAACUGUAGAACUGCACUUGAAACUUCUAAUCUAGAGUAUGGGAGGGGGAGAUGGAAUUAGUGGUGUAGGAGUAAAAUCCGUAGAUAUCACUAGGAAUACCUAAAGCGAAGGCGAUCUCCUGGAACAUUACUGACGCUAAGGCGUGAAAGCGUGGGGAGCAAACAGGGUUAGAUACCCGCGUAGUC
rnacentral:rRNA from 1 species